AGAUUCAACAUGGAACGAGUGGCGGACGGGUGAGUAACACGUGGGUAACCUGCCCUUAAGUGGGGGAUAACAUUUGGAAACAGAUGCUAAUACCGCAUAGAUCCAAGAACCGCAUGGUUCUUGGCUGAAAGAUGGCGUAAGCUAUCGCUUUUGGAUGGACCCGCGGCGUAUUAGCUAGUUGGUGAGGUAAUGGCUCACCAAGGCGAUGAUACGUAGCCGAACUGAGAGGUUGAUCGGCCACAUUGGGACUGAGACACGGCCCAAACUCCUACGGGAGGCAGCAGUAGGGAAUCUUCCACAAUGGACGCAAGUCUGAUGGAGCAACGCCGCGUGAGUGAAGAAGGCUUUCGGGUCGUAAAACUCUGUUGUUGGAGAAGAAUGGUCGGCAGAGUAACUGUUGUCGGCGUGACGGUAUCCAACCAGAAAGCCACGGCUAACUACGUGCCAGCAGCCGCGGUAAUACGUAGGUGGCAAGCGUUAUCCGGAUUUAUUGGGCGUAAAG
rnacentral:rRNA from 2 species